UUUUUUUUGCAGAGUGUACACCAUGUUUUAUUAUUAUUUUCUUUUGUAUAAUUAUGCUAUCCGCAGAAAGAAGGUACGAGAAAUGAAUUCCAGUUCGUUACUUCUUUUCAGUUCUCGUGCCUUUUCUUCUCUCUGAGCGUCCAUAGUUUGUUUUUGUUUGUCUCUCUCAUUUUAUUUUAUUUUCUUUCUUCACCUUUUUGUGUGGUUACCAUCGGGUUUUGAUUUUCUUCUGGUUUAGCAUUUGAUUUGUAUUUUUUGUGAGGGAUUUCAAUUUUUCUCUCACUUUUCUUUCCAUUUACUCACGGAAUAAGUUGCUCAAACUGCUUUGCACUAAAAAGAAUAACGUUUGUGAUCAUUUCCUUAAUACAAUAUUUUUCAGUUUGUGAAUGUUUCUAAAAUUAUUUAACAUUUUCAGAUCAUGGUUUCUUUUUAUAAAUUGUGAGCAAUUUUUGGAAUUUCUAAACAUUCCUUUCAAACCAUAUAUUUUUAAAUUAUGAAGAAAAAAACUAAUGAAAACAAGUUAAAAAUCAUGGAGCAUACUUUUUUUUGUGAGUAUAAACAUCAAAAAAAUUCUGAACAUUAGUUUUCAAUGUAUAAAUAUUUGUAGAAAUGUGCGUGUAACUUCAAAAAUGGGAAGACGGAAACCAAGAAAGCGGAAAAUAAAAAACUCCACUGGAAUCCUAUGUAUACUUAAAUAAUGGACCCUCACUAGUCACUACCUCUAAUUAUGUCAACAUGCAGCCUUCCACCCCAUCAUAAAUAUCUACUAAGAGCAACUUUAGCAGACCCCGCAUCCGGCGCAAAUCCGCAUAAUUUUGGUGAUUAUACGGGCUCGGCUCAUUUUUUUGGCCAGACCAGAGCCCGCAUCGGUGUCCGGCACGUAAAUUUUUUUGCCGCAGCCCGCAAACGCAACCCCCGAGCCACUAUAACUACGGGUUUGCAGGGCAGUGCGGGUCGAAACCCUAUCCUCCCGCCGUCGUGUUCCCCUCCAAUUCCCCACCGCGCCGCUCGAUUUCUCGCCGCCGGCAAGCCUUGAACCACCACGGCCGACUCGGGGGAUGAGGCGGAGUGUCUCCGCCGUGCCAGAUCUGACGCCGCACGCAAGCGGGGGCGCGUCGGUGGCUCAACCAGGGUGCCCAGCCGCCGCCGGCAUUCAACCGGCGCGAGCUCGACGAGUUCGAGCUCGAGCGCGCCCGUCGCCGCCGCGCCUCCUCCGGCAACUGGUUCGUGGGGAGCUCAUCCGGCCACGGGUCCGCGGGGUGCUCAUCCGCGGGCGCAUCGAGCUCGCGGCUCGUUCUGGUGAAGAGGGAGCCGGAGGAGGCCGUGCCCAAUGCGCCGCCGCGCCGAGGCGUCAUCGUACCCGAGGACUACCUCCCACCGGGGCAGGAGGAGCUCCUCGAGCGCGUCGUCCUCAAGCGGUCAACGAGGGAUCAGGAGGAGAUGGAAGAGCGCAUCUGGCGCGAGUUCGAGUACGAGUGGCUCUUCCUCGAGACGGGCCUCACGGCAUCGCAGGCGCACGCAUCGAAGGAGGCCGACCUGCGCGUGAUGAAGGAGGAGCAGGCGAAGCUCUUUGUCGACCUCGACUCUGACUCCUCCGACUCCGACUGAUCGCUGCCGGUGGGCAGCUACCCUAGGAGGAGCUCUGGUGAGCUCAAUUUUGUUGCAGUGGUGCGGUAGCGUAGGCCUUGUCUAGCAUAUCUAACCUUUAUGUAUGUAUGUAGCGUGUAUGAACUUAUUAUGCGAAGAAGAACCAUCUAUGCGAGCGAGCUCCGGCGAGUUGUUGCUUCAACCCAUGCAAACUAGCAAACUACAUGGAAGAAUAUCCCGUGAUAGCACACCUUAAACGCCUCCAUGAUACGAUUUCAAAAAAAUAAGUUUAAGUGUUACAAAAAAUCCGAAAUUUUAUAAGGAAUGUAUCUGCAACCCCUAAAAAUUUCAGCUUUUAAGUUUGAAAUGCACAAUGAGAAAUUAGAAAAAUAAAUCCAGAUGUGAAGUAUCAGUUUUGUAUGUCUUUUUUGGCACUAUCCACACUAGAUAUGUUAUUUUUAUUUCUCAAUGUGUAUUUCGAAUUCGGAUAUGAUUUUUUAGGGGUUGUAGUCAUGUACGUUGCGAACACUCAAAAAAAUAUUUAGAUCUUUUUGAAACAUAUAAAAUUAAUUUUUCAAAGUUGGUAUUAUAAGAACAUUUAAGGUGUGGUUAUCACCUGAUAGUUUGUGGUUUGUUCUCACACAAAUAUAAAUAUGAAACUUGUCUACCUUAAAAAAUAGUAGUUUUUAUUUUGAUUAUUUUUUCAUACAUAAUUUAUCUGAGAUUAAUCCUUAAAUUCUUGCCGCAACGGGGAAAUCAUCUUAAUCAUCUAGAUUUUUUUGAGACAAGGGAAAUCAUCUAGAUAGAAAUGAACACUUUUUUUUAGACAAGGGAAAUCAUCUGAUAGAAAAGAACACGGUAAGAACGCUCGCUAAGCAACAGCACCAUACGAACUGGGCUGCCGGCCCACUGACAUUUUGAAGAAACGUAAUAUGUCUGUCCAAGACGCGUGCCCUCUUUGUGGGUGUCAGGACUCAUGGCGACAUGCCCUUAUUUCAUGCACCAUGUCAAGGUGUAUUUGGGCUCUGUCGGACGAUGACUUGGUCGCGCAGAUGACAUGUAAUAUGGAGCCCAAUGCCAGGUUGUGGCCGUUCGAGUUGAGCGACUCAAUGGAACACACAAGCUUCACGAGGAUGGCUGUCACGCUAUGGUCCAUAUGGCAUGCUAGGCGAAAAACAAUCUAUAAAUCCGUCUUUCAGAGUCCACAACAGACUACAUCUUUUGUUGACAAUUUUCUCUCAGAUUUGGGGCAGUCGUUGGUGAAACAGGCAGUAGAGGCCCAACUGCUACGACUACAGCACAGCCUCAGCGCUGGCUUCCGCCUCCAGCUGGAAGUGUGAAAAUCAAUGUAGACAGACCAAUCGCUAGAAGGCGUAAUUGGGGAGCAGAGGCUGCGAUUUGUAGGGACCAAACAGGCUUAUACCUAGGGUCCUCGGCAAUGUUUAUUUAAGGAACCAAUGACCCUCAAAUCCUGAAGACAUAUGCGUGUCCGGAAGCACUCGCACUAGCAGAUGACCUAGCUGUGAGAGCUAUAUAUGUCGCGUCCAAUUGCCAAGGUGUGGUGGAUGACAUAAACAGGGGACUGGAGGACCAAAUACAGCGAUCAUACAUGAGACCAUUGUAAUAGUAUUAUUUCAUGUUCUUUUAUUCAUGAGCAUAGAAACUUUAAUUUUUUAAAAGCUCAUAAUCUCAUCAAGUUUGCUUAUAGCCUAUAGCCUAGAGAUAGACGUAGGUAGACAUAUGUAGUUGGAUAAUCCAAUGACCCAAACCUUAUACCUAUGACCUACACUUUAAAUGAAUAAAGCUGGCGAGAAUUCUUAAAAAAAAAUCUCGAUCAGAGCUGGCAUAUGCUAAACAUGAAUACCAAUUGAGGCAUAUGCCAAACAUGAAUAUCACCUGAAGCUACCGGCCAGUCCUGAGUGAAGAAGACAUCGCAAGCACGAUCUUCUUCUAUAAAAUCAUCACCCCGCAAUAAAACAACAAAACUUGAAGUCAUUUCACGUUCCCUUCUAACUUACCUACUGCUGGAAAUAUGACUAAAUUACUAUAAAAUUUAAUCUGAAUAAAUAGAAAAUAAAUCAUGACAACAAUUGCAGAGAUUAAGCUAAUCAUGCGAACUAACAUAAUAGAUGAGUAUAUCACAUCUAGACCAUAUAUUAAAAACAUGAAUUCUAUCACGAUUUUAAACAAGAAGGAUAGAAUCACAUACGGUGUAGCGGAAAUAGCACCGCCUGCGUUGAUGUUGUCUCCCAUGUCGUCGAGGAUGGGAUUACCAAGGUCGGAGAAAAAGUUGUCGUUCGCGAAGUCGUCGCUGCCAGCAAUCGCGCAGGUGCGCUCCCCCAAAACCUGAUCAUCCCUCUCCCGUACAGGAUUACAGGCGGGGUUCCGGAGGCUUACUGUCCCUUCUUCCGGUGCACGCCGAAAAAAAGGAUGAAGAAGGUUUGCUUGACGACGCAAUGAUCUGAAACGAUGGUGCAAAACCAUAUAAAACGGCGACGGCUAAAGCAGACGUCUAACUGACUAUAUAAUGCGGGUCAGGUUGUGAGAGUAGUAAACCCCACGUCCGAGCGUCGUGACGAGGCGUGGCAAGGCAAGCGAUGAGAACGUCUCAUCUUCGUACAAGUUGUAGAAGAGUUCUCCUUAAGGUGCAAGUCUUUCUUAACUUCCGUAGCACUAAACUCUAGUCUUUCUUAACUUCCGUAGCACUAAACUCUAGUCUUACUCACUCCACGCAUGAAUAGACAAAUUAAUUGGGCUUUGAAACAAAGGCCUAUUAGCAAAAUUCCAACAACUACUAACACGGACAUGCAAACGAUGAUAUUCCUCUGUCAAUAAAAAAACUGAAGCCAUGAUUUUUCUGUCUGUCAAUAAAAAAACUGAAGAUUUUGUCGAUGAGAGAUAAAACUGAAGAUCUUUGCCGCUGAGAGAUAAAACUGAAGAUCAAUGGCAGUAUCGCAGAGUUCCAAAGACAGACGACUAGUGGUUCAACUAGUAUUGGACAUCCUCCAUCAGAGACGGUACACAUUCUCCAUCGGAAAAAAAAAAGAGACAGCACAUAUUGCAGAGCUCAAAAGAAAUUUCUUGUUUUUUCUACACGAUUGCUCCAAUAUUUUCAUCUCAGGGGAGGCAUCGGCGCAUCUGUUUGCCAAAGCAUUAUUCAACAUGUAAACCGAAGAGGCUGAAAACUAAAAUUCAACUCGAAACAGAGGCCACUAGACGCGUGGAGAUGUCCAGCCGGACAGCCAUCUUCGUCUAC
rnacentral:lncRNA from 1 species